rnacentral:lncRNA from 1 species
CAUCUCUGGGCUGACCUCACCUCCGUGUGAAGGAGCCGGUUCCAGGAUGGUUUUCAGGACUCUGGGCGUGACGUGCGCCGUCUUCUUCGGGGCGUGGGUCCUCUCGAGCGCCAAAGACGCAGCGCCCCCCCACCACCACCACCACCAGCGCCUUCUGCAAGAUCAUCUGGUGGGACUCUGAGGUUUCUGGGUCUCAGACCAACAAUCGUCUCAUGAUGUGUUUUGUGUUUCAGGUUGAUCGGAGUCCCCUGCUCUGAGGUCAACUCCGCCAUCGUGACUCAGAUCAAAGCCAUGGGUUCAUACACGCUCGGCUCCGUCACUUCAAUGGCAGUUCAGGCCAAUCACACUUCAGGAGUCGGCCAGAUCGAGAGCGUCAACUUCACCAUGACGCCCACAUCUGUGAUCCUGGGCUGCCACGUGCAGGCAAGACCGCCACAGUCAUUUAUUUAUAGACUGCAUUUGGAUUGAUGCAGUUUAUAGAAAAUGUUUUCUAUCUAUAUUUUUUUAUUUUAUUAUAUUUCGCAAAAAAA